CGCAGAGCAGGAAUGGCAGGAGAGCGGUGAGAGACCUCCGUCCCAGUGAGGAUGACAAGUUCUAACUCAGGAAAUGAAUAGAUGCUGUUGCGAUUGAAGAAAAAUCUACGCUGGAGGCAGACAGGCUGGCAGCCAGCUCUUGCUGAUGGUCAGGAGCCUCAUUAUCUUAAGACAACACACAGUGGAGACGUGCUUUACGUAAUUGGCCUGCCCUGUGAAAACCCCUGGCUGUU
rnacentral:lncRNA from 1 species